CCUACGGGAGGCAGCAGUGAGGAAUAUUGGUCAAUGGGAGAGAUCCUGCACCAGCCAAGCCGCGUGAGGGAAGCCGGCCCUAUGGGUUGUAAACCUCUUUUGUCGGAGAACAAAACCCGGGACGUUUCCCGGACUGCGUGUAUCCGAAGAUCAAGCCUCGGCUAACUCCGUUACAGCGGCCUCGGUAAUACGGAGGAUGCGAGCGUUCUCCGGAUUUAUUGGGGUAAAGGGGUGCGUAGGCGGUCCGUUAAGUCAGCGGUAAAAUUGCGGGGCUCAACCCCGUCGAGCCGGUGAAACUGGCAGACUUGAGUUGGCGAGAAGUACGCGGAAUGCGCGGUGUAGCGGUGAAAUGCAUAGAUAUCGGGCAGAACUCCGAUUGCGAAGGCAGCGUACCGGCGCCAGACUGACGCUGAGGCACGAAAGCGUGGGGAUCGAACAGGAUUAGAUACCCUAGUAGUC
rnacentral:rRNA from 1 species